GCCCAGGCUUACCUCAAUUGAUAGAGGAUGAGAUACUCAAUAUCAGGGUCAUGGGUUCAAGACCCACAUAGGGCA